rnacentral:lncRNA from 1 species
GAAGGUUCCUUAUGUGACUCUCUGUUUCUGUGUAUGUCUUAACUUUUCAUAAUAAAAGGCUCGUGUAUGUAAAUUUUCACACAAUAAAAAAUUUAUAUUUAGAAAAAAGGCUAGAAGGAAUAAAUCAACAUGCUAGCAGACGGGAUUAUAGGUAAAAUUACUUUUUAAAUUGCUUAGUAUCUUCAAUAGUACUUUAAAAAUCUGGGAAAGAGAUGAAACCAAACUAUCCCACCCUUCCCCGAGGAAGGUUUUGCCUGUGCUCUGCAGGUGGUCGGGUACAUUGGCACCACUGGACCAGGCAGACAUUUGGCUGUAUCAACCACGGCCCUUACAGGCAAAUGCACUUCCCCUACCCGACUUCUCUUCUGGGAAUCAUGCCCGAGGAAAUCAUCUCAAAUCUGAAAUGCCAGCAAAGCUGCCUGCGCAAGGUGUCCACGUCGGGGCUAUUUACUGGAGUGGAAGCUGGAGUCAGAGGCUGCGUCCAGGGCAAGGAGUGUCUCGGGGAAGCCACGGAAAACGGUAACCACGGGGCAGAAGGCCGCAGACUAUGCUGGGGCGCCAGGGAUGCGCAUCUGCACAUCUGACACAUUCGUUUUGCAAACACGUGUGGGAAAUGGACGGAAGCCAGUUAUCAGCCUCCCGGGACACCCCGCUAAUAUUUAAAAUGGAAACGCCCCAACCCCUCCUGGGGGAACCUGGCUUUCUCAAACUGCCCUGGAAGUUCCCAGGAGGCCUAGGGUCCCUCACCCCACUGCUGCCAUGUUCCGUGUCGUUACACUCGCGACCUAGCUUUGUCGUUUUCUACUUGUCCCUGCCCGCCUGGAGGGCUCCGUUUACACCCGCUCCUUUUCCCCACCUCCGACGCCCCUCCCAGGCUGCUGCCUGUGUCCACUUUCCCUGAAGAUGGAAGAAGGUCGGAUUUCCCUAGGAGGGUCCUCAUAGGACCUGCCUGGCCACUCCUUGCCCCAGGACGCCCUGGGCCGGGCACCUCCAGAAACAUCUUCCCGCAUCCCCGGCAAGAGCUCCCUUUCCACAGACACAGAAUCCUCUGCAUAUUUUCUUACACGAAGACCAUUCUUUCUAAAAGAAUCUUGUCCCCGCUUUAAAGUUUGUGCUCCCUCCCUGCAGAGGGAAUGACAGUCCCCACCUCUAUUCCCCUCCCGCAGCCGUGGACCCCACUGUCCCGGGAGCGACUGGCUCCCUUAUGAAGACUACAUUUCCCAACGUCCUUUGCGGCCACGGCUGGCCAUGUGACCCAAUACUGCCAAUGGGGUGCGAGCGGCGCGAGGAAGUGGAUGAACCCACACCCGGCAGGGCAGAAAAGGGAUAGAACUCAGUCCGCCGUCGCCACCGUGAACCACUGACUGCUACAGGAGCGAAUAAUCGUCUACCUUGUUUAAACCAUCAUUAACUUGGGUUUUGGUGUUUGUUUGUUUGUUUGUGUGUUUUUCGAGACGGAGUCUUGCUGGGUCGCCCAGGCUGGAGUGCAGUGGCGCGAUCUGGGCUCACUGCAACCUCCGCCUCCGGGUUCAAGCAGUUCUCCCUGCCUCAGCCUCCCGAGUAGCUGGGAUUACAGGCGCCGGCCACCACGCUUGGCUAAUUUUUGCAUUUUUUAGUAGAGACGGGGUUUCGUCAUGUUGGCCAGGCUGGUCUCGAACUCCUGACCUCAAGUGAUCCGCUCACCUCAGCCUCCCAAAGUGCUGGGAUUACAGGCAUGAAACACUGCGCCCGGCCGGUUUUGUUUUUUAAUAAGUAACCGAGCCUGCAUUCUAACCAAUAAACUCAUUCUAUUAAAACACGCCUGUGGUGCCCAGGGCCAGCAGGUUGUCUCAUGUCAGGUUCUCCCAGAAGCCGAGCCUGAGAGCAGGAUUCAGGUGCAAAUGUUUCCCUAGGGAGUUUCUUCCAGCUGAAACCAGCGAGGGAGCCAGGGAAAAAGAAGGAGAAGACAAGCAAGGGUUUCUUCAAUUUCCAUCCCUGCCGUGGCCUGAGCCCAAGGGAGCUCUGCAGCACAAAUUAUGCCUCUGAGUUUGUCCUGCCUUAAGGCAAGGGGCUAGGCUUUUCUGCUGCAUACUUCCCUGAAGCAGGUUUGAGAUGCAAGGGUUAGCAGCACAGCACAGAGCAGUCUAAAGGUGCGAGAGAAGCUGGGGGAAGUAGACCUCAGACUGUGGGGAACCACCAGCGCUGGUGUGGAGGGCGUGGUCCAGUGGGUCAGCAAGGAUCCCUGUAACAUCAGGCGUCAUUUGCCGAGCACUUCGUCAUCAGGUCCUGUUCUCCCCACCAUGAUUCUCAGAGGCGCUGUCUCCUUGGGUUCUCCCAGUACACUCUCAGACACUGAGAAGCUUUGGACUCAAGUAAAUCCUAGGAAAUACCCAUAGGGAAGUGGAGAAGUGAGACAGGGAAGAGCCAACCAAGGCCAUGUCAUCAACAGAGCUACCGCUGGGUGCAACUGGAGCUCCAUCCCUUGGAGAUGGCGCAGGAUAUACACUUCCAAGUCUCCUCUCUCGGCUGGAUGGAUGCUCCUGAGGAACACCAGCCUCAGCUGGCUGGCUUUGCACUCACGCAAGCAACCUUGACCCCUCCGCUCCACUUCACAGCAACCAAACCGUGAGGGACGUGGUGACUCGCUGAAAGUCAUCCACAGACAGAAGGGACCAAGUGGGCCCCAGGAGGGGGUCUGGGUACCUGGCCAGGCUCUGCCCUAGCUCCAAUCAGGGCUCCAGGACUCCAAGACGGCAGGUCUGUGCCCACUUACAAGCACAGCCUGUGAAAUCUCAGAGUCCCAGGACAGAUGCCUCCAGCCUCCUAGCCCAAGGUUUAAGGGCAAGCCCAGCUCUGCCAUGGAUGUGCAUCCUGAGGGACCCCACGGGGACAGAUUGUAGUUGAAGGCAACUAUAGGAAGCAGAAUAAACUUGGGUUUGGCCCAAGAGGAGGCAGUGGAGGCAGGGACCAGGGGGACAGCAUUAUUCAUGGAGUACCUACUGUGUGCCAGCCUGUUCCAUGCUGCAGGGUUCUGUUGAAACCACCUGCAAUCCUGCCAGAUCCUGCCCCAAUUUGCAGAUGAGGAAACUGAGUCUCUGAGAGGUGCAGUGACAUCUUCAAGGUCAUACAACCUGGGGUGAAAGUGUCAAAUUCAAGGUUGUCUGACCCAAGGGCUGGGGACAGUGGGGGCUGAAGAGGCACGGAGUAGGGCUCUGAGGGCAAACAGGUGUGAUCUUGCGCUGCUGUUGUUCUUAAUGCAAUCAGAUGACAUCUCUCCCCGGCUCACAGCCCUCCAGUGACUUUUGCCCUGAAUAUGAAGUUCAGCCUCUCUGCCAUGGCCUGCAGGGCCCGUGCCAUCUGUCC